AACUUAUGGUCUAGCUAACCUGGCCCGUACUCUUGUAGUAUGUUGUGACGGGUUCGCAGACCAUCCUUGAGAGGAGCAUUUCUGGCCUUCACUGGUUGGAUAUGCGAGUCUCAUCAUUUACUGUGAGAAAAACAAAGUGCUCAAAGCAGGCUUUACAGCUUGAAUGCGUUAGCAUGGAAUAAUAAGAUAGGACUUUGUUUCUAUUUUGUUGGCUCUGAGGAACAAAGUAAUGAUUGAUAGGGAUAGUUGGGGGUGCUCGUAUUUAACGGUCAGCGGUGAAAUGCAUGGACCCGUUAAAGACGAACCUAUGCGAAAGCAUU
rnacentral:rRNA from 1 species